rnacentral:lncRNA from 1 species
GGAGGGCAAAAGACUUUGGAUUAAUAUCUAUCCAUGGCCUUUCAAAUGCACUAGGCAAUGAGUGAUCAUACACACACUUAUUGUUAUCCAUGCCUUUACCGGUUGUGAUAUGGUUCUCUCUUUGCUUGAAAAGAAAAAAAAAGACUGCGUGGGAGACAUUGAUGGCAUUUGAAGAUGUGACUUUAACAUAAAGAAUGAUGAUUGAUCAGCCUAAAUCACCGGGGUUUUACUGUAAGAUCGCACACACUUAACAGAUGGGUA